rnacentral:lncRNA from 1 species
AUCCAAUACGCUUUCUCAAGGACAACAAGAGAAUCAUAACAUGAAAUCCCAAAAGUUUCUUUUGGUUCUCCUUGCUGCCAUGGCUGUGUCUGCCCUUUUAGCAACCUCACGUACUCUUCCUAUCUCUCUCACUACCUAGUUUUUCCAAAUGAUUCUAACACCUAACUUUUUUUUUUCCAACUUGGUCGCAUGAAAUUCAUCUUGUUUUUGCAAAACUUCAUGUGAAGAUGGGAAAAGAGUUG